rnacentral:tRNA from 1 species
GUAGUCGUGGCCGAGUGGUUAAGGCUAGAAAUCCAUUGGGGUCUCCACGCGCAGGUUCGAAUCCUGCCGACUACG